rnacentral:rRNA from 1 species
CUACGGGGGGCUGCAGUGAGGAAUAUUGCACAAUGGGGGGAACCCUGAUGCAGCAACGCCGCGUGGAGGAUGACGCAUUUCGGUGUGUAAACUCCUUUUAUAUGUCAAGAAAAUGACGGUAGCAUAUGAAUAAGCACCGGCUAACUCCGUGCCAGCAGCCGCGGUAAUACGGAGGGUGCAAGCGUUACUCGGAAUCACUGGGCGUAAAGGACGCGUAGGCGGGUUGGAAAGUCAGGUGUGAAAUCCUACAGCUUAACUGUAGAACUGCACUUGAAACUUCUAAUCUAGAGUAUGGGAGGGGGAGAGGGAAUUAGGGGUGUAGGGGUAAAAUCCGUAGAUAUCACUAGGAAUACCUAAAGCGAAGGCGAUCUCCUGGAACAUUACUGACGCUAAGGCGUGAAAGCGUGGGGAGCAAACAGGAUUAGAUACCCCCGUACUC